CCGAGCGAGGGAGGGAGCGAGGGAGGGCCGGGCCGCUCUCGCCGCCGCUGCCGCCGCCGUCGCUGCUUCUCUAUGGUCGCCCGCACUUCCCCAUCCGGGACCCGCAGCUGGCUGACUGGCCGCGCACGCGCACUCGCCCUGCCCCGCGCCAACCACGCGGGCUCUUCCGAGUUCCGCCGCUCCGCCCUCCGGGCCUGGGCAGCUCCGCCCCCGACCGUUCCCGGAGAUGGGCGUCCUCCCUCCGAAGCUCCCGCGAUUCGCAGCGCAACCCCGCCCCCUCCUUGCGUUGCCACUCCGCCCAAUUCACUUCACUUCACCUCAUUUCUGCUUCUUCAGCCGUUGCACUCUGACUAACAUCCUCACAAAGUCAUCAAGUGGCAAAGCGUACUUAGCAGUCCCUGGCACGUAGUAGGUGCUUAAUCAAUGCUGUCUCCUUCCCCACUCUCCCCAACCUCUCCUGGACGCCCCCUCCGAGCCCAGCAAAAUGCGGGCACGUAGUAGGUGCUUAAUCAAUGCUGUCUCCUUCCCCACUCUCCCCAACCUCUCCUGGACGCCCUCUCCGUGCCCAGCAAAGUGCGGGCACGUAGUAGGAGCUUAAUCAAUGCUGUCUCCUUCCCCACUCUCCCCAACCUCUCCUGGACGCCCCCUCCGUGCCCAGCAAAAUGCGAGCACGUAGUAAGUGCUUAAUCAAUGCUGUCUCCUUCCCCACUCUCCCCAACCUCUCCUGGACGCCGUCUCUGGUGCCCAGCAAAGUGCGGGCACGUAGUAGGUGCUUAACAAACGUUUGUGGGCUUUCCUGACCCUGCCUUCUCCAGCUCUCCUCUGACUCAUCCCAAGGCUCUUUCCGCAUCUCCUCUGCGGCAUCUCCACCAGGUCCGCUGCGACCUGACUGUACUGACGUACAAGGACUGGCGUGUGAUCUUACAGGUACAGAGAAUUCCCAGAUGAGGAAAGUCCCUUCAUCAAUGCGGGCCGCACCUUCUCUGCUACUCACCUGAUGGCCCGGGAGGUUGGUGACUCGGGCAGGUCACCCAGGCGGCAUCCUCUAGCAGCUUGUGGGUAAAUCUGUGCAAGAUCAUCGGAAGACGGAGAGCACCUCACCGACUUGGGGGCGGGGGCGGGGAGCUUGCUGUCGGAGGGAGCGCUUGAAGAACUGGAAGAAUUAUAAGGGACCAGAGGGGAGGAGGGUCUGGACUUCAUCUUUGACAUCCUGAACUCAGGACUGAUGCUCGUCUUUCCAAGCAGAAGAAUUCCAAGUCCGAGGUCCUUGGGACCCUCCCGAUGGCCAGGUUCCGAGGUCCUGAGGUCCUUGGGACCCUCCCGAUGGCCAGGUUCCGAGGUCCUGAGGUUCUUGGGACUCACCCAAUGGCCAGGUUCCGAGGUCCCGGGGUUCUUGGGACCCACUCAAUGGCCAGGUUCCGAGGUCCUGAGGUUCUUGGGACCCUCCCGAUGGCCAGACUGGAAGGCCACCUGCUGCUUCCCUCCUCCUUCCUAGCCUCGAGACCCGGCUUCUCAACGUCCAGUUCUGGGCCUCUGUAGGACAGAGAUAGCCUGCCCUGCCCUGCCUAUCUGCUUCUCUCAGGGAUGUUCCAAGGCCCAAGAUUGAAAACUGGGCCUUACAAACACCAGCUCUGGGACAAGAAUUAUCAUAAUAAACAACUUCGAUGACUUGGAACUUCAAAACUCAAGUAUAAUAAAGAUCAGGACUUUUCCUCCAGAGGUUAAAAUAUAUAUAUAUUUUUUCUUCUAGGGACAAAUUGAAUCAAAUUCUAAACAUUUUCACAUCCCGGUGCAGAUCAGAGUUCUAGCCCUGGAGCUGGAAGGGCCCUGAGAGGCAUGGGAGUCCCAUCUUCCCCUUUAAUGGGAAAAAACUCAGGCUUGGAGAGAUGAAAUGAUGGGGUCACAGUUAAUAAAUAAGUGUCCAAGGCAGGACUUGAAUCCAUUCCACUCACUGCCUUAUUACAAGAUACAAAAUGUGCCACAGGGCAAACAGAUGGCUCCCCUAAAGGGAUUUGGUUUAUUUGGCUCUACCAAAAGAGUUCUUACAAAAAAGUGAGUGCGGAUCACAACCUAACAUUCUCACUUUUUUGUUGUUGUUCGCUUGCAUUUUGUUUUCUUACUCAUUUUCUUUCUUUUUUUUUGAUCUGAUUUCUCUUGUACAGCAAGAGAAUUGUAUCAAUAUGUUUAUACAUAUUGAAUUUAACAUAUAUUUUCACAUGUUUAAGAUCUAUUGAAUUGCCUGACGUCUAGAGGAAGGGGUGGGAGGAAGGAAGAGAAGAUCUGAAAUACAAGGCUAGGCAAGGGUCAAUGUUAUCAAAUCAUUUGAAAAUAAAAAAUUGUAUUAAAAAAAAAGUUCCUUUUAAAUGGAUGGGAUAAUCUAUGGGUUCCAUUCCCACCUAUGCUUUCAAUGACAUGACAAUUCCUGAAGCACCUAUGGGUUCCAACCCUGCAAAGUCCAAAAACAAAAGGGAGUCAACCACACCUCCCUAAUCCAUUCACUGUCCCACCAGCCACAAUAUUUUUUUCCUUUUUUAUUAUUUAUUUAUUUUUAAAAUUUUAAUAGCUUUUUAUUUACAAGUUCUAUGCAUGGGUAAUUUUUAAAGCAUUGACAAUUGCCAAACCUUUUGUUCCAAUUUUUCCCCUCCUUCCCCCCACCUCCUCCCCUAGAUGGCAGGAUGACCAAUACAUGUUAAAUAUAUUAGAGUAUAAAUUAAAUACAAAAUAAGUAUACGUGUCCAAACCAUUACUUUGCUGUACAAAAAGAAUCAGACUCCAAAAUAUUGUACACUUAGCCUGUGAAGGAAAUCCAAAAUGCAGGUGGACAAAAAUAGAGGGAUUGGGAAUUCGAUGUAGUGGUUCUUAGUCAUUUCCCAGAGUUCUUUCCCAGGGUGUAGCUGGUUCAGUUCAUUACUGCUCCAUUAGAAUUGAUUUGGUUCAAUUCUCCCUGUGCAACAAGAGAACUGUUCGGUUCUGCAAACAUAUCUUGUAUCUAGGAUAUACUGCAACAUAUCUAACAUAUAUAGGACUGCUUGCCAUCUAGGGGAAGGAAUGGAGGGAGGGAGGGGAAAAAAUCGGAACAGAAGCGAGUGCAAGGGAUAAUGUUGUAAAAAAAAUUACCCUGGCAUGGGUUCUGUCAAUAAAAAGUUAUAAAAAAAAAAAAAAAAGAACUGAUUUGGUUCAUCUCAUUGUUGAAGAGGGCCAGGUCCAUCAGAAUUGAUCAUCAUAUAGUCUUGUUGUUGAAGUAUAGAAUGACCUCCUGGUCCUGCUCAUUUCACUCCAGCCACUAUUUUUCAAAACUGAUUAUCCUUCUUUAACCCUCUCCCCAGCUCCUUGGCUCCCGCCCUCUUAUUGCUUCAUUUUACUGAGAAAGAUAAAAUAGCCACUCCCUGAGAUCUCCCUCCGACCUUCUCCUUGCCCUAACAUCAUCCUGCCACUCUUACUCUUUCCAUUCAAUCAUGCCAUUAGAUUGUAAGCUCCUGACUUUCUUUUUGCUUAUAUUUGUAUUCCCAGCAUUUAGUACAUCAUCUGGCAUAUAGUAGGUGUUUAAUAAAAGCUUAUUAUUGCCCGUCUGACCGAUUUUGGAGAUGAUUCUCGGAGCUAUUUAUCCAGUCCUUGUCUCUGGGCAACUCAGAUUGAAUGUAUCCACAACUGAGUUUAUUUUGCCUCUCCCCCCAACCCUCAAGGUUUCCUUACUUUACUGUGUCUCUCAAGAGCCCCACCACCCUCCCAGGCCCUGCCACUCUCAACCUAGGGUAUCAUCCUGGACCCCUCCUUGUCACGCCCACAUCCGAUCUGUGGCCAGAUCCUCUGGAUUCUACUUUCAGCACUUCUUGCAUAUGGCCCCUCCUCUCCUCAGACCCUGUCCCCACUCUGGGGCAAGCUCUCCCCUUGCCCUUACAGUAGCUGCCAGUAGGUCUGCCCAGCACAAGGCUCUCCUCAACACGUGGCAUUUUCUCUGCCUGUGCCUCUGCCAGGAAGCCUCUUAUUCCUCAU